rnacentral:rRNA from 1 species
ACGGUGGAUGCCUAGGCAGUCAGAGGCGAUGAAGGGCGUGCUAAUCUGCGAAAAGCGUCGGUAAGGUGAUAUGAACCGUUAUAACCGGCGAUACCCGAAUGGGGAAACCCAGUGUGUUUCGACACACUAUCAUGUCAUGAAUACAUAGUGGCAUGAGGCGAACCGGGGGAACUGAAACAUCUAAGUACCCCGAGGAAAAGAAAUCAACCGAGAUUCCCCCAGUAGCGGCGAGCGAACGGGGAGGAGCCCAGAACCUGAAUCGGCUUGUGUGUUAGUGGAAGCGUCUGGAAAGUCGCGCAGCAAAGGGUGAUAGCCCCGUACACUAAAAUGCACAGGUCGUGAGUUCGAUGAGUAGGGCGGGACACGUGACAUCCUGUCUGAAUAUGGGGGGACCAUCCUCCAAGGCUAAAUACUCCUGACUGACCGAUAGUGAACCAGUACCGUGAGGGAAAGGCGAAAAGAACCCCGGCGAGGGGAGUGAAAUAGAACCUGAAACCGUGUACGUACAAGCAGUGGGAGCACCUUCGUGGUGUGACUGCGUACCUUUUGUAUAAUGGGUCAGCGACUUAUAUUUUGUAGCAAGGUUAACCGUAUAGGGGAGCCGUAGGGAAACCGAGUCUUAACUGGGCGAWUAGUUGCAAGGUAUAGACCCGAAACCCGGUGAUCUAGCCAUGGGCAGGUUGAAGGUUGGGUAACACUAACUGGAGGACCGAACCGACUAAUGUUGAAAAAUUAGCGGAUGACUUGUGGCUGGGGGUGAAAGGCCAAUCAAACCGGGAGAUAGCUGGUUCUCCCCGAAAGCUAUUUAGGUAGCGCCUCGUGAACUCAUCUUCGGGGGUAGAGCACUGUUUCGGCUAGGGGGCCAUCCCGGCUUACCAAACCGAUGCAAACUCCGAAUACCGAAGAAUGUUAUCACGGGAGACACACGGCGGGUGCUAACGUCCGUCGUGAAGAGGGAAACAACCCAGACCGCCAGCUAAGGUCCCAAAGUCAUGGUUAAGUGGGAAACGAUGUGGGAAGGCAUAGACAGCCAGGAUGUUGGCUUAGAAGCAGCCAUCAUUUAAAGAAAGCGUAAUAGCUCACUGGUCGAGUCGGCCUGCGCGGAAGAUGUAACGGGGCUAAACCAUGCACCGAAGCUGCGGCAGCGACGCUUAGCGUUGUUGGGUAGGGGAGCGUUCUGUAAGCCGUUGAAGGUGGCCUGUGAGGGUUGCUGGAGGUAUCAGAAGUGCGAAUGCUGACAUAAGUAACGAUAAAGCGGGUGAAAAGCCCGCUCGCCGGAAGACCAAGGGUUCCUGUCCAACGUUAAUCGGGGCAGGGUGAGUCGACCCCUAAGGCGAGGCUGAAAAGCGUAGUCGAUGGGAAACAGGUUAAUAUUCCUGUACUUGGUGUUACUGCGAAGGGGGGACGGAGAAGGCUAGGCURGCCGGGCGACGGUUGUCCCGGUUUAAGCGUGUAGGGGGUGUGACCUGGUAAAUCCGGUUGCAUACUAACCCUGAGGCGUGAUGACGAUGCACUACGGUGCARAAGUAGUUGAUGCCCUGCUUCCAGGAAAAUCCUCUAAGCUCCAGGUAACAUUAAAUCGUACCCCAAACCGACACAGGUGGUCAGGUAGAGAAUACCAAGGCGCUUGAGAGAACUCGGGUGAAGGAACUAGGCAAAAUGGUGCCGUAACUUCGGGAGAAGGCACGCUGGCAUGUAGGUGAAGUCCCUUGCGGAUGGAGCUGAAGCCAGUCGAAGAUACCAGCUGGCUGUUCCGACCUGCACGAAUGGCGUAAUGAUGGCCAGGCUGUCUCCACCCGAGACUCAGUGAAAUUGAACUCGCUGUGAAGAUGCAGUGUACCCGCGGCAAGACGGAAAGACCCCGUGAACCUUUACUAUAGCUUGACACUGAACAUUGAGCCUUGAUGUGUAGGAUAGGUGGGAGGCUUUGAAGCGUGGACGCCAGUCUGCGUGGAGCCAUCCUUGAAAUACCACCCUUUAAUGUUUGAUGUUCUAACUCGGCCCCGURAUCCGGGGUGAGGACAGUGUCUGGUGGGUAGUUUGACUGGGGCGGUCUCCUCCCAAAGAGUAACGGAGGAGCACGAAGGUUAGCUAAUCACGGUCGGACAUCGUGAGGUUAGUGCAAAGGCAUAAGCUAGCUUGACUGCGAGAGUGACGGCUCGAGCAGGUACGAAAGUAGGUCUUAGUGAUCCGGUGGUUCUGAAUGGAAGGGCCAUCGCUCAACGGAUAAAAGGUACUCCGGGGAUAACAGGCUGAUACCGCCCAAGAGUUCAUAUCGACGGCGGUGUUUGGCACCUCGAUGUCGGCUCAUCACAUCCUGGGGCUGAAGUAGGUCCCAAGGGUAUGGCUGUUCGCCAUUUAAAGUGGUACGCGAGCUGGGUUUACGCACCACUGGUGUUCGGGUUGUCAUGCCAAUGGCAUUGCCCGGUAGCUAAGUGCGGAAAAGAUAAGCGCUGAAAGCAUCUAAGCGCGAAACUUGCCUCAAGAUGAGUCUUCCCUGGGCCUUUAAGGCCCCUGAAGGAACGUUUAAGACUAAGACGUUGAUAGGCUGGGUGUGUAAGUGCAGCGAUGCAUUGAGCUAACCAGUACUAAUGAUCCGUGAGGCUUAACCUUACAACACCGAAGGUGUUU